AAAUUGAAGAGUUUGAUCAUGGCUCAGAUUGAACGCUGGCGGCAGGCCUAACACAUGCAAGUCGAACGGUAACAGGAAGCAGCUUGCUGCUUUGCUGACGAGUGGCGGACGGGUGAGUAAUGUCUGGGAAACUGCCUGAUGGAGGGGGAUAACUACUGGAAACGGUGGCUAAUACCGCAUAACGUCGCAAGACCAAAGAGGGGGACCUUCGGGCCUCUUGCCAUCAGAUGUGCCCAGAUGGGAUUAGCUAGUUGGUGAGGUAACGGCUCACCAAGGCGACGAUCCCUAGCUGGUCUGAGAGGAUGACCAGCCACACUGGAACUGAGACACGGUCCAGACUCCUACGGGAGGCAGCAGUGGGGAAUAUUGCACAAUGGGCGCAAGCCUGAUGCAGCCAUGCCGCGUGUAUGAAGAAGGCCUUCGGGUUGUAAAGUACUUUCAGCGGGGAGGAAGGCGUUGUGGUUAAUAACCGCAGCGAUUGACGUUACCC
rnacentral:rRNA from 1 species